CAAAGAUGGGAGUGGCGGGGGGAGGGUGAAAGAGGUCUUGAUGUGGUGCCAAGCCGGGCAGGGAUGAGGCGCCAGAUCUUGUGGAAAUGCAGACUUUAAGACCUUGGCGGUGGGAAAGUGUGAGCAAGAUGGUGUCUAUUUAACCAUGAUGCUCUAUGUGAUCAUGGUGUCAAAAUAUAAUGAGUCGGUCCGUUCUACCUAGAAAGCCCUCACCACCCUUUUCCCCUUCCCACCUGUUAAAAUCCUCUUCAACCUGCGGGAUCCAGCUCACACCGUAUCUCUUCCAGUCCACUUUGUGUUCCAGCUGUUGUUGAAGUCUGUCUGUCUGUACAAUGCGACUAUGAGGCCUGGAGGACAAAGAACAUAUGUCCUUCUUUCUGGACUCUCUGCCGCUCCCAGCAGUGGGCCUCGCACGGCAGAAGGGGGCUAUCACCUGAGGACGAAAUGUGGAUGACUGCCUGGGCUUCGAAGCCUGAGAAAAGCCCACCAGUUCCUGUUGAGGGUCCUUUUGGAGGAGGGGGACAUCAACCCCCUCCUCGCCCGCUUGUCCCACCCCAUAGCUGACAAUGAUUUCGAGACUUCCCUACAUUAGAAUUUUUAAUAUUUUUUCAUCUAAAUGCUCAUCUUUAGUAAAUCCAUAACUAGAUGGAUUGUGAAGUGAGGGAAUUAAA